rnacentral:tRNA from 1 species
CGCGGGGUAGAGCAGUUGGUAGCUCGUCGGGCUCAUAACCCGAAGGUCGUAGGUUCAAGUCCUGCCCCCGCUACAA